GAUGGAGAACGCAGCGAAAUGCGAUAAGUAAUGUGAAUUGCAGAAUUCAGUGAAUCAUCGAAUCUUUGAACGCACAUUGCGCCCCCUGGUAUUCCGGGGGGCAUGCCUGUUCGAGCGUCAUUACAACCCUCAAGCUCUGCUUGGUGUUGGGCCCCGCCGCCCCGGCGGGCCCUAAAAUCAGUGGCGGUGCCGUCCGGCUCCGAGCGUAGUAAUUCUUCUCGCUCUGGAGGUCCGGGUGUGUGCUCGCCAGCAACCCCCAAUUUUUUUCAGGUUGACCUCGGAUCAGGUAGGGAUACCCGCUGAACUUAAGCAUAUCAAUAAGCGGAGGA
rnacentral:misc_RNA from 1 species